GGCUACCGCUAUUGGAGUUCGAUUAAGCCAUGCGAGUCGCGAGUCUUAGGGACUCGGCGUACCGCUCAGUAACACGUGGGUAACCUGCCCUAUGCUGGGGGAUAACCUCGGGAAACUGAGAAUAAUACCCCAUAGUUCACCACGCCUGGAACGGUGGGUGGACCAAAGCUCCGGCGGCAUAGGAUGGGCCUGCGGCGUAUCAGGUUGUAGGGGGUGUAAUGUACCCUCUAGCCCUCUACGCGUACGGGUGUUGAGAGACAUCGCCCGGAGAUGGAUUCUGAGACACGAAUCCAGACCCUACGGGGUGCAGCAGGCGCGAAAACUUGGCAAUGCGAGAAAUCGUGACCAGGGAACUCCAAGUGCAUCGGGUAAGACCGAUGCUUUUCUUGACUCUUCAAAGGUCUUGGAAUAAGGGGUGGGUAAGGACGGUGCCAGCCGCCGCGGUAAUACCGGCGCCCCAAGUGGUAGUCGCUUUUAUUGGGCCUAAAACGUCCGUAGCCGGUCUGGUACAUUCGUGGGUAAAUCAACCAGCUCAACUGGUUGAAUUCUGCGAGCACGGCCAGACUUGGGACCGGGAGAGGUGUGGGGUACUCUCAGGGUAGGGGUAAAAUCCUGUCAUCCUGAGAGGACCACCUGUUGCGAAGGCGCCACACUAGAACGGAUCCGACGGUCAGGGACGAAGCCUAGGGGCACGAACCGGAUUAGAUACCCGGGUAGUCCUAGGUGUAAACGCUGUGGACUUGAUGUUGGGGGCGCUCCGAGCGCACUCAGUGUCGAAGCGAAGGUGAUAAGUCCACUGCCUGGGGAGUACGGUCGCAAGGCUGAAACUUAAAGGAAUUGGCGGGGGAGCACCGCAACCUGAGGAUUGUGCGGUUU
rnacentral:rRNA from 1 species